CAGUUUUUCCCUUUGACAAAAUUGGAAGAUCAGAACAACAUUUGCAGCAACUUUUUGAUCGUGCAUUGAUAGCAAUUGAAAUCAAUGAAUGGAGUAUUCAACUAAACAAAGAAGUAGAACAAGAAAAUUGAGGGAGCGAUAGCAUAAAAGAAUUCGAAGAAUACCACCCAAGUAUUAGAGGAUCCAACGCAUGAGGGAAAUGAAAAUGGUAGUGUAUUGAUUUCUCAGAAGAAGAGGAAGUGGAGUGAUGGGUAUUACACCGUACCCAUAAGGAGCUUCGAUUAGAAACACAGUGGCGUAGGCAACUGUGGCCUCGUGGGUUCUUGUCACGACAGAGUGUCGUAUUUCGAUGGUGAAGAAAGCCCAAGAAGUGUUCUCUUUACAAUUUUGAAAACCGUGGGUGUUAGUUACAAUGCUUAAAGCAUGAUGAUGCAUGGGCAAGUGAAGCUUGACACAAGAUUAGACGAGUUGAUACAACUUUAGACAUGGAAGCUGAUGAUGGGGAUGAUUACAUUCAUCUUCCGGAUCACGGAAUGUCUCGCGUUGGCAGCGAUAGUGCUACUGACUCACAGUAUGAAGAAUACACAAGGUCUUUUUCACAAGUCUUUAAUUGCCAUGGUGCAGUUGUCCUUGAAGGAAGAUCCAUAGAUGUGGAAUUGGGAGACACAAGGUCCGUGCCUGAGGCUCUUGCGAGGUCAAAAUAGGGUUUGCACAGUUUACUUUUCCUGAAACGCUUGGAGAGGAUUUCUCAGCUGGCUAAAAUUGAAGAUCUUCAAGCAUCUCGUGACCUUCCAUUGGCACCUCUCUUCAUUAAAGAUCCUUGAGAAUACUUUCAUUCUCAGCAAGCUAAUGCAAUAAAAACUUUGGGGGACAUACUUGCUGGAACAAGAUAAAACAAAUACAGCCUCAACACCAGUGAAACUUAUGGUUUUCUAAGGGAUCGGAUAUCUGAGGUUAAAAUCACCGGAUUAAAUGAUCCCAUAGUUACUUAAACCUGACGUUGCUUUUAAGGUUUUCGAUGGAUUGACCCAAAAUAUUAAAAGCACCAAGGAUCAGCUUGGGAAGAAUCUGUAGGAGAGUGUUUUGGACAGGUUGCCAAAAAUCAUUGAAGAGGAACUCUUACAUCAUUUCUGGUUAUCAUAUCCAAUUACAACCUCAUAUCUUUAUGUUAAGAAGGCUAGUGCUGAUGGAAGCCAAUCAAAGAUGCUUUUCCUCUGCUUAAAAAAGGUAUAUUCUAAGUCAUCCUUAAGGAUGUGAUGUCUGCCAUCAUCUCUCUUUGUUUCUCUGUGUAGUUAGUCAUGACAAACUUCGUCCAGGUAUGCUUGUAAGUCGUAAUUAUUGAACUAUAAUCUAUUUUCUUGCUUUCUAACUGAUCUCGUUUUCUUUUCCCUUAGGUUCAAAUAGG